GUAAGGUGUGUCCUGAUACAGCAGGGUCAGGAAAAGGAUGCUUACACACACACACACACACACACACACACACACACACACUAUUAUAUGCCCAUAGUGGCUAAAGGAAAGGACCGCUAUUGUUGCUUGUGAGUUUAACAGAUGGAUCUCAAAGUGUGUGUGUUUGUGAGUGGGAGACGUUUGGAUUGAGAUCCAUUUGUCCAGUUCCACAGGAAAUGAGCUGCUAUGAAGUGUGUCAUUUCCUCCAUUCGUUCUGUUCAGCUUGUGAAUCAUUACAUGGAUGGUGAAGUGGACUCUUUUAUUUCCCGCUGACAUUCAGAGAAGCGAGUCACAGGCGUGGGGAAGGAUGUGUCUGGCGUGAUGUUCGCAGGCUGUUAUGCUGAUGUAUUCAGUACGGACACGCUGAUGGAGUCUUUGGAGCGACGGCUACAGAGGCCUUUGUUGGCCAAAUCCAGGACAUUACCCAGCAUCCCUCAGUCCCCCGCCGCCAUCCGUGUGCAGCAGUCGGAGAAAGUUUGUGAAUGUCAACAGCGCCCACGUGUUCCUUCCAGCCCUGGUGGUCUUGAAGCAUGUACGCUGCCUCCUGCAGGUAUUGCGUGUGUGUUUGUGUUUAUUUAUUAAAACUGCACACUGCACAGCCGUGUUAG
rnacentral:lncRNA from 1 species